rnacentral:rRNA from 1 species
UACGAAGGGAGCUAGCGUUGUUCGGAAUCACUGGGCGUAAAGCGCACGUAGGCGGAUGUGUCAGUCAGGGGUGAAAUCCCGGAGCUCAACUUCGGAACUGCCCUUGAUACAGCACGUCUUGAGUCCGGAAGAGGUGGGUGGAAUUCCUAGUGUAGAGGUGAAAUUCGUAGAUAUUAGGGAGAACACCGGUGGCGAAGGCGGCCCACUGGUCCGGUACUGACGCUGAGGUGCGAAAGCGUGGGGAGCAAACAGG